GGAUUAAAAUCUGGGUUGAGGGCAGAUAAAGAUGAAGAGAUAAAAAGCUCUUAAAAAUUGCUAGCAGACGAUGCAUUAAAAACCCUUCUUAAAACAAGAGUGUGAUCAGUAAUAGAAGGCUGGGAUAAAACCAUGGAGAAUAAAACCAGUUUGUGAUCUGACAAACAGAUACCCUUAGUUAAAAACUCCCCAGGACUAAGUCCAGUAAAUAAAACCAAAUCUAAGCAAUGUUCCUUUACAUGAGUUGGUUCCCGUAUUGCCUGGGUAAGAUUAAAGGAGUCCAGAGUUUCAAUGAAAUCAACAGUUAGGGGUUGUGAGGGACAGCAGACAUGUACAUUAAAAUCGCCCAAAAUAAGAAUUUUGUCAUAUUUACAAAUAAAAAGGGAUAGAAACCCCGAAAACUCCUGAAUAAAAACAGUGUUGUGUGGUCGAUAAAUGAUUAUGAUUAAAGCAGGAUCUUUCAAUUUAACAAUAAAAGCAAGGUGCCCUAAUGAACUGAAAGUGCUGAAGGUGAUGGGGAUACAUUUAAAAUCCUUCUUAUAUAUGACAGCCACCCCCCCUCCCUGGCCUGACUGGAGUCAGCCAAGUGUCAGUCAGAAUAAUAGAAUAAUAAUAAAAGGCUGUUUUGUGAAAUAAAAUCAUGGCAUAAAAAUGUUUUGUUGUUGAGGGAUCUGAUGUUUAAAAGUCCAAAGUUGGCAGAUUUGCUGUUAAGAGCAGGGCAGGGUAGCCGAGGAAGCAGGGGGAUGUGCAUGAGACUGGUGUGGAUGAGGACGGGGAGGACGUGAGGAUGUGAUGUAGACUGGAAUCACAGAUUUACUGAUAGUAUUCGUGGGGGGGCAGGUGAAUGAGCGGGGAUUGUGGGACUGUUUUGAGAUGACCAGAGGUUAUUGUGUGGAAGAGGGGGAGUGGCCUGAGUGUGGAAAGAUGGGCUGCUGAGUGCAGACUGUCAGACAGGUGAGGAGUGGAUCAUGUACUGGAUGUUGUAGGAGAGCAUUCGGCCACCCCACCCGUUGGGGUGGAUCCCAUCAUCACUGAAAAGUGGUGCUCGGUCCCAAAACAGAUUAAAAUUGUCGAUAAAACCAAAGUUGUGGGCGGGGCAUGUGGACUGGAGACAGGUAUGGAGGCUGAGGAUCCUGCUAAAAUGUUCUGCUCCACGACCAAGAGUGGGGAUCGAGCCAGAGAUAAAAACUGUCUUUCCAGUGUCCUUUAAAAUGUUAAAAAGCAAGUUAAAAUCCCUCUUUGUGAUUUCGGACUGCUUAAGGGACGUGUCGUUUGAGUCGACAUGGAGCACAAUCUUAGUGACAGAGGAGGGGGGAGAGGGGAGUAGAUUAAGAAGUUUGUCCAGAGGCCUGUACUACGAAGCUGGAUUUGGUCUUAGCGAGAUAACUUCUGGAUAACUUCUGGGUUUUCUGUACUACGAAGGUGGAUCUCUUUUUAUCCGGGUCCGUUGCCCCGGUAACUUGCGCGGAACGCCAAACCUGCUCCGGAGCAGGUUAUGUUUCAGGAUAAGAUCUCAGCAGGUAUAAAAAACCGCCUGAUGACCAAUCGGAUCUCUUGGAAAAUGGCUUGCCCACUUUGGCGGAUCCCGGGGACAUCGUUGCACGGAUAGUGAGAGGAGCGCUCCGCCGAGAGCGUUAUAUUCAUGAUCGUUCAAAUCCGUUUGAUUUACCUGAUGACGUUCUCUAUGAACGUUACAGGUUUUCCUCGGACGGCCUCAAUAUUCAGGUAGCAAGAAGUCUAAGCAAUACACUAAUAUUUGCCAAGCUCCAGGUUCAAAUUUGUUAGUCAUCUUUCAGAAUUCAUUGAAGCAGAUAAGAAAACUCUUAACCCCAAAUGUGUCUGCAGAUGACGUGACCAUCAGAUGAUGGAGAAAAAAAAAAGGCAGUGUGAGGAAAUCACUGUUUACGCGUUGAAAUAUGUACAAAUAAAAUCCAAUAAACUUACAAACUACUUUAAAGGAUGUUUUUAGAUUUAUUUUUAUUUGCUCCCACGUACUCUUUUACCCACUGCUGUUGUAUCUUAAAUAAUGAGGUCAGUGAUGGUGGUGAUCACACACGCUGCAUGACAAUAUAUUAGGGGGCCAUAAAUUUAUGAACGCAC
rnacentral:lncRNA from 1 species